UCUUUUCAGGUCUGUGGUUGCGAAGCUCUUUAUGUGCUUUUAGUCCAUGACAGACGAGGUCAAAAGGAUCCACGUAAGUUUAUGUGUGCGCACGUAAACGAUCAUGGCUCGUCCUAGAAGUAAGCCAUACCGCCUGUUAUAACAAAGAGACAAAGGGUCUCGCAGGCGAGAGAGCUAUUAGUGGAGUUACUGCGGUAGCAAAGCAAACGCUCCAGUAUGCGAGUGUGGGGUCAAAUACCAGGUCAGCUGAAAAGA
rnacentral:ncRNA from 1 species